AGAAAUGAUCAAAGGAAUUGAUCCAAAGGCUAAAAACUUGAUAGCUAAAGGGGGCAAAUACUAUUAAUAAUAUUCUAGCCCAACUCUCUCUCUCUCUAUAUAUAUAAAAUUGAGCUCCUAUGCUUUUAAAAGUAUAAGUUAUUGGUGCUUGUAGAUUGGUUGUCACGCCCCGCGCCCCGCCUAUUUGGUCGGGUUCGGGCACGUCGACACACCGCCGAACGGAUAGAGUUUUCCCUGUACGUCCUAGGCGUCGCAAUCAAUACAAUACAAGAGUUCCACCAGGAACAGUAUUCAACAUACAGAUUGCAUAAGGAAGUAUCAAAAACAUAAACAACUAACUAUUACAAGCAUUCACAUACAUGCUUUUUCAUUUCAAU
rnacentral:lncRNA from 1 species